AUGUCUUUGAAAAGUUUUGUUGCUGUAAAAUAUUACUACUUACGCAUAUACAAUAUUUAAAAUUUUAAAUGUUUUGACCUUUAAAAAGUGUUGAUGUUGCAGGGGUUUUUUUGUGUUUGUAUUUUUGCCGCAAUACAUUUGCAAAAUUCUGUUUCAGAGGCAGUUCCAGAGUAUAAAUCUGGCAGUGUUAAAAAUGAUGCCGAAAUUGCCAGAUUAGAGCAAAGGCCUCCUGAUACUGACUGUGGACGGGACAUGACCCCACCAUGUGAUUAGAGCAAGCCAUUGGUUCCACUGAACCACAGGCAAGAGUUGGUUCACAUACAUUAAAAAAAUAAAAUAAAAAAACAAAAAAGAAGCCACAACUCUGACUAGAAUUUAAAAGUCAGCAUGAAGGAAAAGCAAAUCUCUGCAUUUGAAAAUACACCAAACAAUUAUAUAUAAUAUAUAUAUUAUUCAUAUUUUUAUAUAAUAUAAAUAAUAUCAUAUAAAAAACGUUAGAUUAAAGAAAGUCAGUAUGUUGGUUAAUAUUUACUGAUAAAUCGAAAAAAAAGCACAGAUGCUAAUGACAACAUACAGAAACGGCAGCAGCUAGCAUGAAAACAUACAAGAAAAAAAGAAAAAAAAAAUUCUAUUUUCCAAAGUUUAGUGUUGAAAGUAUUUCAAACUUCCUGAUCCAGCCAUCAUAUUCAAUGAAAAUACAUUUUUGAACUUCUCAGCAGCAGGUGUCAGAACUGCUCGCUCAGUUUCCCUUUCAGGUGAGAACCCAGGAAACGUUCCUCUGAGAGAACGCAGCGCAGCAAAUGUCACAAACUUUGCUCUAACGCUGCGUGUCGGUCAGGCGGUGACGCACAACACAGCGUCAGCGCCACGCUCCGAGUCUCGUCACUCACUCUCUCACCAACACAACAGACUCGGCUACCGCUGAAGUUGUGUAACUCGAAUAGCCAGCCUGCCCCUCUACACUCUCACUGACACACACACACACACACUCACACACACACAGCUGAACCAGUCAGCCAACCUCAGUCAACACAAUCAGGCUGCAAUGUUCUCACACACACACACACACACACACACACACACACACACGUACACUCUCGGUGAUGAAUCACUCCAUUUGCAUCCCACAAACAUCAUGCUGGCAACCAACCAGACGCAGACAAAGCAAGGGAAGUGAGUGCUGAGCAAGUAGGCCGCGGUGUGUGUGUGUGUGUGUGCUGACGUCAGACAAGACCCGCCCUCUUUGCUUUACGCAGCUGGGUAGCUCCAGUCAACUCUCUGGGUUUGUCUUCCUGUGAACUGCUCGUCAGGUUUGUGGAGGAGACAGACACACAAGCAAACGACCGAAACCUGGCCAAUUAAUUCAGUUAAUGAAUAUAAAUGAUCAGCCAGACAGGUACAUUGUUUCCAGGACACUCAGGAAUCUGAUCACCCUAACAACCCACGAGGACUACCUCUGGCUAAUUUAUUAUAUGCUUAAUUAAAGUCGCUCACUACUGGAAAGCGACGGCGUCUUCUGCCAAACAUUUUAAUGAGGGAUGUCAACACAGGAGGAUUGACACAGUUACAGGUGUCGACCAAUGAGAGCAUCAGGGGAUGCUAUGGGAUGGUAUGCCGUGCCAACAUCGACCGGUGUUCUUGGGCCAUGUACAGCAUUGUUUCCCAAAGACUGGGUCGCGACCCUCAGCUGUCACAGCUGUCCACGGUCAUCGUGAGCUGAAUCCUGAACAGCCUCGUUCGUCCGUUUUAGCUCGUUCGCUCCGGCCGAUGUAUUUACAUAGCGGAGUUGCCUCUGACCUUGUAUCCUGCUUCCAGUGUAUCCGGCCCUAUAGAUCUCCUCCUGUCCUUCUUCAGGCUACCAGCUCUUCUGAUUCGCAAGCACAUACGCACGUACACACACACACGUACACACACGUACACACACGUACACACACUUGGAGAGUGGCUUUCCACUAAAGUGAAAAACAGGAAAUUGGAUGACAUUGUUUGGUGCGCCAACGUCAGCGCUGAGAGAUAGAAAGAGUAAACAGCUUCCUCCACCCCAGAGCUGGGACCAGGAUGCAGAGAAUCUUGGGAUGUCUGCCCUUCUCGUGCUCUCAAGAAAACGUGCACCGCUGCCCCAUUUACCAAUGAUAAUCUGCACAUCCUUCACUUUGAGACGGGGCAACAGGCUCGCCGGCUCUUCCUGCCAUCCUCGGAUCGCACUGCGUCCCAGGUCUCCUCACUUAACCCCUUAUUUUUAGAACCUUCUGCAUUCGGUUAAAUAGAACAUUAUAUACAGAGCUGCCAAUACAACGGAGGACAUCUGGACCUCUACUCUACAGGUCAACAAACUAACGGUGCCUCGCUGCUGUCUAAAAGUCUGAAUUAAAUGGAGAUGAAUCCAUGUCCUCCAUUAGUCUUUAUAACCAUAUUUUACAGAUAUGAAAAAGUUUUAUUUUCUUUUAUCCUUUGGCUAGAUGUGCGACUUAUACUCAGGUGAAACUAUAUUACUAAUAUUACUAUGCAAAUAUAUAAUUUCACAUUUGUU